CCUGGUGGCUCAGAUGGUAAAGCAUCUGCCUACAAUGCAGGAGACCUGGGUUUGAUCCCUGGGUCAGGA
rnacentral:tRNA from 1 species